CGGGGUGUGGCCUAGCUGGUAGGGCGCCUGCUUUGGGAGCAGGAGGUCGGCGGUUCAAAUCCGCCCACCCCGA
rnacentral:tRNA from 1 species